GGAUGAACGCUGGCGGCGUGCUUAAUACAUGCAAGUCGAACGAAGGACUCCUUGUAGCAAUACGGGGAGGCCUGAGUGGCGAAUGGGUGAGUAACACGUAGGUGACCUGCCCCGAAGUGUGGAAUAACAGCCCGAAAGGGCUGCUAAUACCGCAUACGGCCUCCGGAGUUAGAGGUCCGGAGUCCAAAGGCUGCGCAAGCGGCCGCUUUGGGAGGGGCCUGCGGUCCAUC
rnacentral:rRNA from 1 species